UGUUCGUCCCUAGUUCCUGUGUUGCCUACCUUUUGAAAGGCACUUCGGUGACUUGUUGGGUUUUAUCUGUUCCAACCUAUUUUGUUGGGUUGCGAAGGGCUUUAGAGGUGAACUAUGUGAUUGUCCCGGUUAGUCUCUUGCUUGAUGCUGACUAUUUUUGGUUCACAUGGUUAUUAAUCGUGUUCUUGGAUGUGUUUCAUGAAGCGAACGUGGGUUGUUUUCCCAAUGUGUCCCUUAUAUCUUUGGUUGCCUAAAAUGAUGCCUGUCUUCAUGUCUGCUUUGAUGCAUAUUUCUGGGUCCAAAGCUUGCAUGAUGUGCAGA
rnacentral:misc_RNA from 1 species